CUCUUUUUCUUUCUCUCUUCUUCACCCCCUUUCUGCCCCGAUUCUGACGUUCACAGUGGCGGCGGCCGUGGCGUCGCCGCCGGCUCUCCCUCAACAGUGACAACGAAAAAAGGUAAACAGAAACUUAGAUCUAGUUUCAACUUUUAUUUCUUUUUCGAUUUAACCAGAUCCAAGCUUGCAUGUCAUCGAAGCAUACCUCUUGUGACAUGCGAGCCCCGAUCUGUAUAUUUGGGGUUUGGUUUUUUGCUUAUAUGGUCUUUCUUUGACUUUUUAUUGCUUUUAUUUUGAUUUAAGUUUUCAAUGGAGUCAGGGAUCGGUGGGGAGGAAGAAGAAGAGAGGAAAAAGGUUUCACCGUCGACGGUGCGGCCGGCAACGGAAGAGGAAACAGACACCAAGAGGAAAUCGAGGUAGAAAGGAAAACCACGGUUCAGUUUCUUAAUCGAUUUGUCUAACAAAUGAAAAAACUGAUUUCCUAGAUUUAUUUCUGGUAAAACGUUUCAAGUCAGUCGGGAAAUCGGAAGGAAAGGGACUGAAUCAGAGGAGGUAAAAAAUGUGACACUGAAACUGUUAUUUCGAAAUGAGAUGUUAUAAUUUUUCUAGGUGUUAACUUGCAUUCGACCAUUUUGAUAUUGAAACAAACCCGACCAAUUUAACACCAUUAAAAUGACGGAAGGAUUUAAAAAAAUAGUUUUUUUAAUGAAAUUCUAGCAACUUGUUUUAACUAAGAACUCAUGUUUUUGCUUGAUUUUGAUGUCACAUUCCUCGUCUUUGUGUGAUUUUUGAAUUCUUGCUUCUAAUGCGGUUAAAUGAGUAAGAUUUGAUCUUCUUAGUCCAUUAUCUACAUAUUUUCAGCAACCUUUUCUUAAGCAAAGAAGCUUCAUUUUCUUACUUUUAACUUUGUAAGUUCAUCACUUGCUAAGGUUGGUUGUUUAGUUGAAGGUUGUAGUGAAUAUUAUAUUAGAGGCUGGGGUAAAUGNNNNNNNNNNNNNNNNNNNNNNNNNNNNNNNNNNNNNNNNNNNNNNNNNNNNNNNNNNNGGUAGUAGAAUACACUAGUAUAAUAAGCAUAUUGACAUGUAUUGAAACAGGAUAUGAAUGAUAUGUGAAUGAUUGAGAGUUUAGGAAGAAGUUCGGUUGUUUGGAAAUAUCGACCUUCUUUUGAAGGAAGAAAUUUGAUUUCUUUGCUCUUCUUCCUUGACAGUGUAGACACGAUCUCCUAGCCGUUUACUGCAAGAGUUUGGAACUUCGAAAGUUUUGACGAUGGAUUCUCGAAGCACUUACUAGAAGCAGUUAUGUUUGUAUUUCUAGGUUUUAUUUCGUAGUGGGAUUGGGGUGUAAUGGAUUUGGGAUGUAGUGGGAUUGCUUGUGGUGGGAUCGGGGUGUAGAGUUUUUUUCGUUUUAAUCGGUAGGUCCUUUUUUCAUUCUAUCCCCCCUUUCUAAAAAAAUUUGGUGGUCCUUUUAAACGAAAACAAGGGCCGCCAACUCCCAUGUCUUCCAACCGGAUUUCGACAUCCAUUACUGACACAAAAGGGAGGUGGCGGCUCCCUAGCGAAUAACAGAAACAGGCCCAAAAUUGGGCCUGAACUCGGGCCCGAAAAUUCGAUGUAGAAUAGAGCUACGAAAUAAAUAAAAAACUUAAGAACCCGGACAAAUUUUGGUUACUAAAGCAACAAAAUGAGAAAAUUACAAAAAAAAAUUACUAAUAUCUUAAAAACUUUUUUGUACGUUUGACAACUAUUUUAUUCGGGCUUGGAUAGUUAAUAUAUGUCUUCACCCGUUAUAAUUUUGGAUUUGUUAUGAAGAUAAUUGUAGUGAAUGCCCAAUUGUGUAACUCCUUAUUCUAUGGUUAAUGUAUUUUAUUCCCCUCCUUUAUGUGUAUGAUUUAAUGUAUUUCAUUC
rnacentral:lncRNA from 1 species